rnacentral:rRNA from 1 species
UACGUAGGGAGCAAGCGUUGUCCGGAAUCAUUGGGCGUAAAGCGCGCGUAGGUGGCCUCGUAAGUCCGCUGUGAAAGUCAAAGGCUCAACCUUUGAAAGCCGGUGGAUACUGUGGGGCUAGAGUACGGAAGAGGCGAGUGGAAUUCCUGGUGUAGCGGUGGAAUGCGCAGAUAUCAGGAGGAACACCAAUAGCGAAGGCAGCUCGCUGGGACGUUACUGACACUGAGGCGCGAAAGCGUGGGGAGCAAACAGG